rnacentral:rRNA from 1 species
UUUUCCUACGGGAGGCAGCAGUGGGGAAUAUUGGGCAAUGGACGCAAGUCUGACCCAGCAACGCCGCGUGAAGGAAGAAGGCUUUCGGGUUGUAAACUUCUUUUAAGGGGGAAGAGGAGAAGACGGUACCCCUUGAAUAAGCCACGGCUGACUACGUGCCAGCAGCCGCGGUAAUACGUAGGUGGCAAGCGUUGUCCGGAUUUACUGGGUGUAAAGGGCGUGCAGCCGGGCUGACAAGUCAGAUGUGAAAUCCGUGGGCUUAACCCGCGAACUGCAUUUGAAACUAUUGGUCUUGAGUGCCGGAG